rnacentral:rRNA from 1 species
UACGAAGGGGGCUAGCGUUGUUCGGAAUCACUGGGCAUAAAGCGCACGUAGGCGGAUCUUUAAGUCAGGGGUGAAAUCCCGAGGCUCAACCUCGGAACUGCCUUUGAUACUGGGGAUCUCGAGUCCGGGAGAGGUGAGUGGAACUGCGAGUGUAGAGGUGAAAUUCGUAGAUAUUCGCAAGAACACCAGUGGCGAAGGCGGCUCACUGGCCCGGAACUGACGCUGAGGUGCGAAAGCGUGGGGAGCAAACAGG